GUGGGGAAUAUUGGACAAUGGGCGCAAGCCUGAUCCAGCCAUGCCGCGUGAGUGAUGAAGGCCCUAGGGUUGUAAAGCUCUUUCACCGGAGAAGAUAAUGACGGUAUCCGGAGAAGAAGCCCCGGCUAACUUCGUGCCAGCAGCCGCGGUAAUACGAAGGGGGCUAGCGUUGUUCGGAAUUACUGGGCGUAAAGCGCACGUAGGCGGACAUUUAAGUCAGGGGUGAAAUCCCGGGGCUCAACCCCGGAACUGCCUUUGAUACUGGGUGUCUGGAGUAUGGAAGAGGUAAGUGGAAUUCCGAGUGUAGAGGUGAAAGUCGUAGAUAUUCGGAGGAACACCAGUGGCGAAGGCGGCUUACUGGUCCAUCACUGACGCUGAGGUGCGAAAGCGUGGGGAGCAAACAGGAUUAGAUACCCGUGUAGUCC
rnacentral:rRNA from 1 species